AUUCUGAAUAUAACUAACUUCCUUCCUUCCUGCCUUCCUCCCUCCCUGCCUUCCCUUCCUUCCUGCCUUCCUUCUUCCUUCCUCCCUUUUUUCUUUUCUCCCUUCCUUCCUUCUUAAUAUGUUUUUGGCCUUUUCUUUAUAUAUGUGGCCUAGCAAUAUCCUGUGUUUGGAAAAGUAUAAACCUAAGGCAUCACCUUUACAGAAAAUAUCUUCCACGGAAACAUCUAAAGGCCACAGAUCAGCCCUGGGGUUCAGAGGGAUCCUGACAGCUACUCCUCAAGAUCCUCUCUGUUGUGAUUCAUCCCCCCGGGGCCCUACAGUUUCUCCUUCCUGACUCUUACAUUUCUUUGGAUGGCAUCAUUAUUUACCUGUCUCCUCCCAUAGUUAGGUGCCAAGCACUGUGGAUUCUGCCUCUCAGUGUCCAGACACCCAUUUUCCUUCCCACUGUUCCUUCCCCAUGGAGAAGCCUGUGGCUGGCUGACAGCAGAGAGAGAUGCUCAACUUGGAGAAGGUGUUACCUGGGCCAGGUGGGGAAGGUUUGUUUGCAGAGCAAAGAAGUGAAGGAAGUAUUAACCCUUUGCAUGGCCUCCUGAGAAUCCGACAAGACGUAAAUAGCCAAGAAUAUCUGUGAAACUUCAUCACUGAGUUACAAUAUUUAUCACUGCAAGUGUGUUGUUCAUUGACACUAUAAAGCCAUGUGGAAUUAAGCAGCCUUGAAACACAAAAUGGAGAAAGGCUAAGAGCUGAGAAUUGUUGCCUUCAGGGAAAUACAAUCAAUGUCAAGCAAACAACCACCCCAAAAUGGUUAGCUUUAUCAGCAUUCAGGCCUACAGUGAACGCAAAUGUUCCAGAUCUGAGUUUCAAUUUUUAAAGAAUAAACAUAUGCAAAUGACCAUUAGUCUUAGUAGUUUUAGGGCUCAGAAUGAUCUUAUCUUGUUAACAUUCAGGGCAACUGCUUAUACCCAUUUGAAUGUCAUUUAGAGGGCUAGGAAAGACUGCUUCAACAUUUGAUGACUAAAUGGCAGGGCUCAGCCACAAUGCUCACUCCGAGAAAUGAGAAAUAGACACACCAGUAUGCUAGAUGCUGAUGCAGUUCAGGAAAUGCUACCCCAAAAUAUGGCCCCUCAGCAUACUGAGUAUUUUAAGCAGAAGGCAAUUAAGAAAACCACAAAAACAGAAAGGUCCCUCUGACCUUCUCCCACCCUCUCUCUCUUGAAGAUCCUCAUGUGACAGGUGACCUGCCAUAUAAUCAGAAGGAAGAAAUGUUACACAGAGAGGCUGAGAAGAAUCUGAGGACUUGCUAAGUUUUCCCCAGUUUAUUACCAUUAGAUCAUAUGCCUUUUUUGUUCAAUCAUACUUCUAUACAACUGUCCAUCAUUCAUUAAACCUAACCACAAAAGUAGUUUUCACUCGGUUUUUGAGUGAAGGCUCCUGUGUCACAUAAAACUUACAUUAAAUAAAUUUGUUCCACUUUUCUUUUGUUAAUCUGUCUUUUGUUAUAGGAAUGUCAGCCAUUAACCUCACAGUAGGUGAUGAAAAGAUAUUACUUUUUCUCCCCUAUACUACCCAAGCCAGCCACCUCAAGAAAGAACAGUUCAUGUGCAGGUGACCAUGUAGUUCAAGUCAUCAUUAAAUCCAAAGCUGAGCAGCCGUGAUGCUAUUGGUGGAAUUGCCCUUGACCAAGAGAAAUCCAUCUUGAUUGUCUCAAUAAUCGGCUCAAGGACCACUGAUGAUGAGGUCCUAAAUUUAAUUCCUAAAAAACCACUAAAGUUAUAGAGGCAAAAUGAGAAAGCAUAGCUCACAAAUACCUUGUGACCAAUGACUUGCCUAUUCAACGUGAAAAAGAUGAGGAUGAAGACCUUUAUUAUGAUCCACUUCCAAGUAAUGAACACACUGGAGAAAGUCAGACAGUCAAAACAAUGUCCCAGACUCCGUGAAGUUCCUGGGUAGAGAAGGAGACAGACAUAUACCAUACCUAAUAAUUGGAUGUCCGAGAGAAUGAGAGAAUGGCAGAAAGAACUUUAGAGCAUGGGUAUGAUGGCUAGAGCUUGAGCAGCCAUUGUGGACAUCAGAUGAACUUGAAAGUGAAAACUAUGAGCUGAAUACGACAAAGCAAACAGAUAGAAAACUGGAUUCAUUAUGACAUUGCAAAGCUGCCAGACCAGCUCUAGUCUGCUUCCCCCUAAUCUUCCUUACUAAGAGAGAGAAAUAAACUUCCAUCUUCUUCAAGCCACUG
rnacentral:lncRNA from 1 species